GGAGCGGGCUGGAUGGCCGCCGGCCCGGUCUGUCGCCGGGCGGGAGGAAAGUCCGGGCUCCUCGGGAUCACGGUGGUGGGUAACACCCACCGGCCGAAAGGCCAGGGAAAGUGCCACAGAAACUAGACCGCCUCGCGGUGCCCACCGCGCGGUAAGGGUGAAAGGGUGAGGUAAGAGCUCACCAGCAGGCCGGGUGACCGGUCUGGCUAGGCAAACCCCACCGGGAGCAAGGUCAAGCAGGGGGGAGUGAGGCGCAAGCCUCCGCGGGUGAUCCCGACCGCCACCUUCAACCCCCGGGUAGACCGCUAGAGGGGCCGAGCAAUCGGCCUCCUAGAUAAAUGGCCAUCGCCCUGGAGAACACCAGGGUACAGAACCCGGCUUACAGGCCCGCCCUCGUG
rnacentral:RNase_P_RNA from 1 species